GCAGGAUCUCAACUCUCCAAAGGGAGGGCUCUGCAUCCCCUCUGGGUUGGCUUAGAAACCUGUGUCUGUCACUGAGGGCUCAGGCGGGCCCUGCAGGCAGAUAAGGCCAUGGGUCUGGCUGCAGCCCUCGCCUAGCCACACAUGGACAACAGAGGGUUAACGGCCCUCUCCAGGUGCUGCUCCGUCCAUCCAGACCCUGCACCCCAGGCUGUAAUCACUGGAGGAGUUCUUCCUGCCCACUGCAUGAAGAAAGGUCGUGGAAUUGCAGUAAAGAAAGAAUUGAACAGACCCAAGGCCCGCCGUGCCAUGUGGGAGACAGAGUGGUUUCAAGGCCUCCUCCAGAAGGCAUUUCUGCUCACUCCACUCCCUGAUCAGAGAUGGCUCCCUAGUGCUGAAAAUCAAUUCAAACGUCGCCUGACACCUGUGUCUUUUCCGUCUUUUCCGGCCGCCUCCAGCCUUCUUUCUCUGCCUGGCUUCUCCCCGUGGGGUGGGCCCUCCAUGCCUACCAGCUGACCAGAUACACCAGCCCCAAAGGGCCAGCUUCACUCAGGACCUUUGCUCCUGUGGUGUUUUGUUUUGUUAAUCUCCACAAUAUUCAAAUUCUGUUUCUCAAGGUCCAGGUGAAACUCCAGGGUCCGUGGAUCUUUCCUGGCAUUUGCGACUGGCCUAUCUGGGGUCAUUGCUUUGUCUUCACGCUCGUCUCCCACAAGUCUGUUAGGUCCCCUUUCUCUCACUCCCUGGAGCUCAGCUCAAGCCCUGGCACAAGGGAGAUCUUGUUAAGGAGUGACGUGUUUGGUGUGUUAGCAGGCAUCUAUCUGAAAAUGCUCUCGACCCUGGGCUCAGCCAAGCCCUGAAGGCAACAAGAUACCAUCCCUCCUGCCCAAGUGUUUGGCUGAGUCCACGCUUGGCUGAGGACAGAGCCCUGAAAUAUCUCCCAGGCCCCUCAUGGGAGCAGAAGGGAGCCACUGUACCAGCUGGUGGCACCAGCCCAUGCACCUGCUCACCCUUGAGCAGGAGCACGUCUUUGACCCCAGGAAGAACAGGAGGCAGGAGAGACUGUCCCCAGGGUGGGAGCUUUCCUGAUGGUGGCUGCAGGGACCCCCUGGGCACAGAAGCCAACAGUGAUGGUGGCCUGAUCAGCUUGUGUUGCUCGGCCUCUGCCCCUGAGCUGGGCCCGCUGGGGGAGUCAGGGGAAAUGUGGCAGCUCCCUGUGGGCUGGGGAUUAGGGGAAAACAAACAGGUGGAAUAACAGACAGCAAGGACCUUUGGUUCUCCCUCCUCCUGGGGCCCCUCCCCUUCCCGGUCAUCUGGGUUUCCAUUUUCACAAAGGUCUCACCCACAGUUUCUCUGCCCACACCAUGAGCCUGGGCACAGGCAGGUCAGUGUCCUGAGAUGCACCUUCCCAGCACAAAGGGGUCAUGCAGCCCUCACUGGCCACGGAGUUCUGAGGGCAGGCAGAGGUUCUUAGAGUGGACUCCUGUCCCCAGUCACUUACUGGAGAAAAAAAGGUUAAGACAGGGAGGGGAAAAAAACUGUAAACGAGUAUUUAGUGAGUACUUACUACAUGCGAGGCACAGUGCCAGACACUUCUCACGUGGGUUUCCUUGACUCUCACCGCAAACUGCAAAGUUAGUGUGGUUCUCCCCAUUUUGCAGAUCAGGAGAUUAAGGCUGAGUGUGGCUAAGGCAAUGACUGCCUAGAUAUAUCAGAACCAGGGAUUAGACUCCUAUGUCUGCUGACUCCAGAUUUGAUCUUCUUUCCUCUGCACUAGGGCAGGAGGGGAGGUGGGGAGCAUCUACCUCCCCAGGCCAGGGGCAGUGUCCAGGCUGAGGGACAUUCUGUGCUUCCAGGAGCUCCAAGUGACAGGACAGAGGGCACACUUGGUGAUGUCAUUCUCUGGAAGGGCACAGAAUAUGUUUGUGAGAUCAAAGAUCUUACAGAUGGAGGGGCAGGGCUGGGUGGAGGAGGAGAAGCCCCGGUGAGUCACGCUGGG
rnacentral:lncRNA from 10 species